rnacentral:tRNA from 1 species
GGAGAGAUGGCUCAGUGGUUAAGAGCACUGACUGCUCUUCCAGAGGUCCUGAGUUCAAAUCCCAGAAACCACA